GUUGGUGUUGAUUGCGGUGAGGGUCCACCCGUUCCCAUUCCGAACACGGCAGUUAAGCUCAUCUGCGCCCACAAUACUUGGCUGGAGACGGCCCGGGAAGAUAGGUAACGCCAACA
rnacentral:rRNA from 1 species